GUGCAGCAGCCGCGGUAAUACCGGCAGCCCGAGUGAUGGCCGAUCUUAUUGGGCCUAAAGCGUCCGUAGCCGGCCGGACAAGUCCGUUGGGAAAUCGACGCGCCUAACGCGUCGGCGUCCAGCGGAAACUGUCCGGCUUGGGGCCGGAAGAUCCGAGGGGUACGUCCGGGGUAGGAGUGAAAUCCCGUAAUCCUGGACGGACCGCCGGUGGCGAAAGCGCCUCGGAAGGACGGACCCGACGGUGAGGGACGAAAGCUGGGGUCUCGAACCGGAUUAGAUACCCUGGUAGUCC
rnacentral:rRNA from 1 species